rnacentral:rRNA from 1 species
UAAGACGAACCGUCCAAACGUUAUUCGGAAUCACUGGGCUUAAAGGGUGCGUAGGCGGCGCGGCAAGUUGGGUGUGAAAUACCUCGGCUCAACCGAGGAACUGCGCCCAAAACUGCCGUGCUCGAGGAAGAUAGAGGUGAGCGGAACUUAGGGUGGAGCGGUGAAAUGCGUUGAUAUCCUAAGGAACACCGGUGGCGAAAGCGGCUCACUGGAUCUUUUCUGACGCUGAGGCACGAAAGCUAGGGUAGCGAACGGGAUUAGAUACCCCGGUAGUCCUAGCCGUAAACGAUGAGCACUGGAUUGGAGGGUCCUCCAUAGCCUUCCAGUCGCAACGAAAGCGUUAAGUGCUCCGCCUGGGGAGUAUGGUCGCAAGGCUGAAACUUAAAUGAAUUGACGG